rnacentral:lncRNA from 1 species
UUUUUUUUUUUUUUUUUUGAGAUGGAAUCUCUCUCUGUCACCCAGGCUGGAGUGCAGUGGUGCGAUCUCGGCUCACUGCAACCUCCACCUCCCAGGUUUAAGCGAUUUUCCUGCCUCAGCCUCUCAAGUAGCUGGGUCUACAGGUAUGUGCCACCAUGCCCAGCUAAUUUUUUGCAUUUUUAGUAGAGACAGGGUUUCACCGUGUUAGCCAGGAUGUUCUCAAUCUCCUGAUCUCAUGAUCCACCCGCCUCAGCCUCCCAAAGUGUUGGGAUUAUAGGCUUGAGCCACCACGCUCGGCCAGGAAUAAAAUUAUUUUUAAGUACGAGACUUGUAUACUGAAAACACCACUGAGACAGAUUAAAGACCUAAAUAGAUGGUAGACAUUCUUUGUACAUGGAUUGGAAAACUUAAUGUUGUUCAGAUGCAAUACUGCCCAAGUGGAUCUACAGAUGCAAUGCAAUCCUUAGUAAAAUCUCAACUGGUUCUUCUGAAGAAAUGGGCAAGCUGAUUCUAAAAUUUAUACAGAAAUGCAAGGGACCCAGGUUAGCCAAAACAAUCUUGGAAAAGAAAACCAAAGCUAGGAAACUCUCACUUCUUCAUUUUUAAACUUACUGCAAACCUACUGUAAUCAAGACAGUGUGGUACUGGCAUAAGGAUAGACAUAGAGAUCAAUUGAAUAGAAAUGAGUCUAGGAGAUUAGAUUCAAGACAGCUGACUAGAUGCAGCUAAGAUGUGUCUCUUCCACAGAGAGGAACCAAAAUAUCAAGUAAACCUUCACACUUCAAAUGGAUCUUUAGAGAGAAAACACUGAAAUGUAAUAGAGAUGUGAUGGAAGACACUGUGAUUGAAGAGAAAGGAAGUGGAGUAUCCUGCUGAGUGUUGCUAGGUACCAGAACCAACCCCUAGACCCAGACUGAACCCCAGGAAGGGAUGAAUGAAGGAAACCCAGGGCACCACAUUCCCACCGUGGACCUCUGAGAUCCUAGCUAUGGGAGUUCCCAUGACUCCUGUAGAUCUUUGGAGUGGCAAGGAAUGCUGUCUGGAGAACAAGCAGAGGCACCGCUUAAACCUGCAUGGAGCCCUCAAGACUUCAGUGUGCUGGGCAGCUAUAGCAAAACAUAACUCUAGGCACCCAUCCCCUGAGGCUCUGGGUCAUGCCCUAAGUGGCUGCAGCUCCUGCCAUCUGUGGAGACCAGAAGGGAUCUGAGGCUGGGUGUGCUCAUGGGCCCAAGACAGAACCAUCACUGUCACAGGACUGAGAUGCAUCAUAUCAUGUGCCCCUCAUGCCUGCUGGUCCUCUCAAGACUACCUGCUUGUCAUUCCCACGUUGGGCAAGUGGGCACCCACAGCACAGCCUCCACUGCCCUGCCUGGAAUUGUCUGUUGGUAGCCUAGGAGCAGUUCAACACCUCCAUCACAGCUCGUGCAUGACCCUGAGUGGCCAGAGGACAAUCUGCUGGUCUGGUCCCAGUUUCCCAGGACUCGACCAUACUGCCUAGGGGUAUGAAGAUGAGACUAGUGGCCUGAUCUUUAGCAGUAGAGAAGCCCUCACUGUCAGAACACAGAGAAGAGUUUAGUGCAGGUCCCUGUCAUGGCGCAGAAGUUGGGCACCCCUCGUUUCACAAGACCUGGAAUGUGUCUGGCCUGAAAGCCUUACUUUCUGCCGCAGGGAAUUUUAUACUCUGGAAUGCCUGGAAUGGCUCAGCGAUCUGGAUAUAGAUGACUUGGAAGUAGGCUAACUGGUUGGGCCUGUCGCCAGGGCCAGACACUGAGAGGAGGAAGACCCACCAGACCAGGGUGUGGGAGCUGGGUAGGCCCCACAGCUCCCUACUGUGCUGAAAACCCCACACCACCCCUCUUCCUCUGAGCUGGCUCUGUGGCACAGGAGAGAUGCCUCUGCCCUUCCCUGGAGAGUUGUCCCCGUGGCCUGAGAGUUGCCCCAGAACUUCACCAAGGUCAGAACCUGUACCUGCUCCAGAGAGCCUGGACCAGCCUGACCCAGCAGUGUCUAGCUUUGCCGCCUCUAGCUGCCUUGGCAGCAGAGUGUGGGGAGUGACCCCUGAGAGCCACACACCCCACCCAUUGUCAGGGACACCCCAGUACUUCCCCUGUCAACAUAUCAACAAAGACCAAGUACAAAUUCCACUACCGGCUGGGCACAGUGGCUCGUAUCUGUAAUCCCAGCACUUUGGGAGGCCAAGGUGAGUGGAUCACCUGAGGUCAGAAGUUGAAGACCAGCCUGACCAAUAUGGUGAAACCCCAAAAAAUAUAAAAAUUAUAUUUUUAUAUAAUUUUUAAAAUUUUUAUAAAUUACUAAAAAUAUAAAAAUUAGGCAGGCAUGGUGGUAGCUGUAAUCCCAGCUACUUGGGAGGCUGAGGCAGGAGAAGCUACUUGGGAGGCUAAGGCAGGAGAAUUGCUUGAACCCAGGAGGCAGAGGUUGCAGUGAGCCGAGAUCCCACCACUGCACUCCAGCCUGGGUGACAGACCAAGACUCUGCCUCAAAAAAAAAAAAAGGCCAUUACCGUCACUGUAACUUCAUCUUGCCUACAAGCACCAUCUGUUGGCUGGGAGGUCAAACCCUACUGUCCAUUACAACUUCUGACAUUAGUGUACAACAGACAGCUGUCGCUCACAAGCACCACCUACUGGCACGCAUGGUGAACUGUCCAAACCAAUGUAAUUCCUGCUGACAGAGGUGCUGGAGAACAAAAUAUGUCUCCCAAGUGCUGGAGAACAAAAUAUGGCUCUCUCUAUCUUUGUUGGAAACAGUGAACCUGAUCACACAUACAGCACACUGCUACUACAACCUACAAACAACUAGCAUUUGAAAAAACCACUAUGAUAUCUAUAACCAACUAAUUCAUACAGAGCUUUGGCCCCCUAAAACUACAUAGAAGCAAAGCCAAAAGACCCUACCCAGUAUAUGCAACAGUCAUACGCUCAAAGAGAGAAGAAAAAAAAACUCACCCAAAUGAAAGUAAAUUCAAAAAUAAAAAGUGACAGUUUCUACAGAUAAGAAGGAACCACCACAAGAACUCCAGCACCAUGAAGAAACAAAAUGUUGUGAUACCCCCAAAAGACCACACCAGCUCUCCAGCAAUGGGUCCUAACCAAAAUGAAAACUUUGAAAUGACAGAUAAAUAACUUAAGGUAUGGGUUGUAAGCAAGUUCAGUGCGAUCUAAGUAAAAGUCGAAAAAUAACACAGAAAGGCAGAAAAACAGAUCAGGAGAUGAAAGAUGAGAUAGUUCUGUUUUAUUGAAAAACAGAACUUCUGGAAAUAUAAAAUACACUGAAGGAAUUUCACAAUACAAUUGAAAGUUUUAACAAGACUACACUAAACAGAAGAAAGAAUUUCAGAGCUUGAAGACCUGUCUUUCAAAUUAACACAGUUAGACAAAAAUAAAGAAAACAGAAUUUUUACAAGUGAACAAAGACUUUGAGUAAUAUGGGAUUAUGUAAAGUGAUCAAACCUACAACUUUUAGGCAUUCCUGAGGGAAAAGAAGAAAAAGAGGUUUGGAAAACGUAUUUGAGAGAAUAAUUCAGGAAAAUUUCCCUGAUCUGGCUACAGAUGUAGACAUCCAGAUUUAAGAAAUGCAAAGAAUAUUCACAAGAUACUCUACAUGACAAGUAUCAUGAAGCCAUGUAGUCAUUAGACUAUUCAAGGUCAACAUGAAAGAGCAAAUCUUAAAGGCAGCUAGACAGAAGCAUCAAAUCACUUAUAAAGGAAAUCCCAUCGGACUAACAGCAGGCUUUUCAGCAGAAACUUUAAAAAUCAGAAAAGAUUGGUGGCCUAUCUUUAACCUCCUAAAAGAAAAAAACAUGCCAAUCAAGAAUUUUAUAUCCUGCCAAACUAAGAUUCAUGAAUGAAGAAGAAACAAAGUAUUUCCCAAAUGAGCAAAUGCUAAGGGAUCUGUCACCACUAGACAGGUCCUACAAGAAAUGGUCAAAGGAGUCCUAAACAUGGAAAUGAAAAGGUGAUACUUGCCAUAAUAAAAGCACAUACAAGUAGAAAGUUCACACAUCCCAUAAAGUAAUUACACAGUUUAGACUCCAAAGCAGCUAGCUAAAAAAACUAUGACCAGAAGAAAAAAAACCUCACAUAUCAAUAUUAACCUUGAGCAUAAAUGGCCUAUAUACUCCACUUAAAAUAUAGAGAGUGGCAAAUUUGAUUUAAAAAAAAAAAACCCAACUAUCUGCUGCCUACAAGAGACCUCCCAAAUAACUAAAGACAGACUCAAGGGAGUAGAAAAAGAUAUUUCAUACAAAUGAGAAAAAAAAAAAAAGCAAGCAGAGUAGCCAUUUUUAUACUGGAUGAAGCAGACUUUUAACCAACAACAGGAAAACAAGAGAAAGGGAGUAUUAUAUAAUGAUAAAGGAUUAAAUAAAGCAAGAAGAUUUAACAAUCAUAGAUAGCACCCAACACUGGAGCACCCAGAUUCAUAAAAUAAAAACUACUAGACCUAAGAAAAGAGGCUGACAGAAACACAAAAAUAGUGGGGACUUCAACACCCUACUAGCAACACAAGACGGGUAAUCAAGUCAGAAAUUCAGCAAAGAAACUCUGGACUUAAAUUGGACUCUGGACCAAAUAGAACUAAUAGACAUUUGCAGAACAUUCUACCUAACAACCACAGAAUACACGUUUUUCUCAUCUGAGCAUGGAACAGUCUCCAAAAUUGACCAUAUGCUUGGGCCACAAAGCAAAUCUCAAUAAAUAUUAAAAAAUCAAAAUCCUAUCAAGGACCUUCUUGGACCACAGUGGAAUAAAAUUAGAAAUCAAUACUAAGACGAACUCUCAAAAAUACACAAGUACAUGGAAACUAAACAAUUUGAUCCUGAAUAAUUUUUGAGUAAAUAAUGAAAUUAAGUCAGAAAUCAAAUAUGUUUUAAAAAUGAAUGAAAACAGAGACACAACAUACCAAAACCUCUUGGAUUUAAUAAAAGCAGUGCUAAGAGAAAUUUUUAUAGCAUUAAACCCCUAUAUUAGAACUAUAGAAAGAUCUCAAAUUAACAACCUAAUAUUAUAACUCAAGGAACUAGAAAUGCAAGAACAAACCAAAUCCAAAGCUAGAAGAAGAAAAUAAAUAACAAAGAUCAAAACAGAACUAAAUGAAAUCGAGACCAAAAAAAAUGAUACAAAGGAUCAACAAAAUUAAAAGAUGGUUCUUUGAAAAGAUAAAUAAGAUCAAUAGACCACUAGCUAGUUUAACUAAGAAAAAAAGAGAGAAGAUUCAAAUAAGCACAAUCCAAAAUGAUAAGGGUACUCAAAACUGAAUAGUACCAAGCUCUGCCCCAGUUGUAGAGGUGUACAAGAUUAACAAGAUGGUGAUCCUCAGGUAAUUUGCCUUCUAUUAGGAUGGAUUUUGGAUUAAUAAAUAUAGGUAUGAUUUGUGUUUCAGAGAGGGGAAACACAGGGCAUUUUACUUGCCUAGCAGCAGUGCCUCUCUGUUCAGUUCAGGCAAUGCUUUACUAAGAGGUGUUUAAACGGAGAUCCUGCAGGGUACAGGUUACACAGGAAAAACGUGUUUCAGAAAGAGAGAAAACAGUAUAAUCGAUGAACCAGGGACAAGACAGAAUAUGCCAUUUGGGGAAAAUAAGUAAAGUCCAGUUUGGUUAAAGCCAUCUGUAUGGCCGAUAAAAAAUUAGCAUCCUUAUGAAGAAUUCUUACAAAUCAUAAGAAAAGUUUGAACAUAUCAUUGGGAACAGACAAUUCACCAAAAAAGAAAUAUAAAUAUAUAAUAAUUUUAAAAGUUCAAUCCC